CCUACGGGAGGCAGCAGUAAGGAAUAUUGGACAAUGGACGCAACUCUGAUCCAGCCAUCCCGCGUGCAGGAUGACAGCCCUAUGGGUCGUAAACUGCUUUUAUAUGGGAAGAACCCCCUGGUUUUAAACGGGUUUGACGGUACCAUAAGAAUAAGCACCGGCUAACUCCGUGCCAGCAGCCGCGGUAAUACGGAGGGUGCAAGCGUUAUCCGGAAUUACUGGGUUUAAAGGAUGCGUAGGCGGGCUAAUAAGCCAGAAGUGAAAGCUCACGGCUCAACUGUGGAAUUGCUUUUGAUACUGUUAGUCUUGAAUUAGGUUGAGGUGGGCGGAAUGAGUCAUGUAGCGGUGAAAUGCAUAGAUAUGACAUAGAACACCAAUUGCGAAGGCAGCUGGCUAGACCUCUAUCGACACUGAGGCACGAAAGCGUGGGG
rnacentral:rRNA from 1 species